GACGAACGCUGGCGGCGUGCUUAACACAUGCAAGUCGAACGGAAAGGCCCUGCUUUUGUGGGAUGCUCGAGUGGCGAACGGGUGAGUAACACGUGAGUAACCUGCCCUUGACUUUGGGAUAACUUCAGGAAACUGGGGCAAAUAACGGAUAGGAGCUCCUGCUGCAUGGUGGGGGUUGGAACGUUUCGGCGGUUGGGGAUGGACUCGCGGCUUAUCAGCUUGUUGGUGGGGUAGUGGCUUACCAAGGCUUUGACGGGUAGCCGGCCUGAGAGGGUGACCGGCCACAUUGGGACUGAGAUACGGCCCAGACUCCUACGGGAGGCAGCAGUGGGGAAUAUUGCACAAUGGGCGGAAGCCUGAUGCAGCAACGCCGCGUGCGGGAUGACGGCCUUCGGGUUGUAAACCGCUUUCGCCUGUGACGAAGCGUGAGUGACGGUAAUGGGUAAAGAAGCACCGGCUAACUACGUG
rnacentral:rRNA from 1 species